rnacentral:rRNA from 1 species
GACAGAGGGUGCAAACGUUGCUCGGAAUUACUGGGCGUAAAGCGCGUGUAGGCGGACCACCAAGUCGGACGUGAAAGCCCUGAGCUCAACUCAGGAACUGCAUCCGAAACUGGCGGUCUGGAGUAGUGGAGAGGAAAGCAGAAUUCCUGGUGUAGAGGUGAAAUUCGUAGAUAUCAGGAGGAACACCGGUGGCGAAGGCGGCUUCCUGGACCGACACUGACGCUGAGGCGCGAAAGCUAGGGGAGCAAACGGG